UACGUAGGUGGCAAGCGUUGUCCGGAAUUAUUUGGCGUAAAGAGCUCGUAGGCGGUUUGUUGCGUCGGCUGUGAAAACCUGAGGCGCAACCUCAGGCCUGCAGUCGAUACGAGCAGACUAGAGUGUUGCAGGGGAGACUGGAAUUCCUGGUGUAGCGGUGAAAUGCGCAGAUAUCAGGAGGAACACCGGUGGCGAAGGCGGGUCUCUGGGCAACAACUGACGCUGAGGAGCGAAAGCGUGGGGAGCGAACAGG
rnacentral:misc_RNA from 1 species